AAACUUAAGAGUUUGAUCCUGGCUCAGAACGAACGCUGGCGGCAGGCCUAACACAUGCAAGUCGAACGUGAAGCUGGAGCUUGCUCCAGUGGAAAGUGGCAGACGGGUGAGUAACGCGUGGGAAUUUACCCAGUGGUUCGGAAUAACUUCGGGAAACCGGAGCUAAUACCGAAUACGCCCUCCGGGGGAAAGAUUUAUCGCCAUUGGAUGAGCCCGCGUCGGAUUAGCUUGUUGGUGGGGUAAAAGCCUACCAAGGCGACGAUCCGUAGCUGGUCUGAGAGGAUGAUCAGCCACACUGGGACUGAGACACGGCCCAGACUCCUACGGGAGGCAGCAGUGGGGAAUAUUGGACAAUGGGCGCAAGCCUGAUCCAGCCAUGCCGCGUGAGUGAUGAAGGCCCUAGGGUUGUAAAGCUCUUUCAGCGAGGAGGAUAAUGACGUUACUCGCAGAAGAAGCCCCGGCUAACUUCGUGCCAGCAGCCGCGGUAAUACGAAGGGGGCUAGCGUUGUUCGGAAUCACUGGGCGUAAAGCGCACGUAGGCGGACUUUUAAGUCAGGGGUGAAAUCCCGGGGCUCAACCUCGGAACUGCCUUUGAUACUGGAAGUCUUGAGUCCGAGAGAGGUGAGUGGAACUCCGAGUGUAGAGGUGAAAUUCGUAGAUAUUCGGAAGAACACCAGUGGCGAAGGCGGCUCACUGGCUCGGUACUGACGCUGAGGUGC
rnacentral:rRNA from 1 species